rnacentral:misc_RNA from 1 species
UCUUUAAUUCGGAAAUCGAGACCAGUUUUGGUCGGAUCUGUGACCGCUCAGAGUUGAAGGUCAAGAUUGUCAACCAUGAGUCAAAAUUUGAAGGGGCAUACCUCGUAAUUAAAUCAACAUCACAGGGCGGUAUUCAACAACUCCCCGUAUAUAAUCCCCCCAAGAUGGAAUGAGCUUUCGACUCAGGUUUCAGGAUACAGCCCAAAUCAAAGCUUUGCUUCUUUCAUUAUCUUUAUAGUUUUUUGAUCUUUGUGGAGAGAGGGAGAGAGAAUAGAAAGAUGGCAGGCGCAGGAACGGCUAUGAUCAACAAUAGGAAGGGUUCAAGAAGAAGGUUUUCUGGCCGUCCAAUCCCAAAGAGAGGGCAGGUGAAGGUGGCUAUAGUGGUGGGUUUGGCUCACUCUGUUGCUUCUUUUUUCUCUUUCAGUAGUAGACGAGCAGGACCUCCUUCUCGUCUCACUUUUCUUAGUAUUUGUUAGUUCAGUAGACCCAAUUUUGGAUGUUCUUUUGUAAGAGAGAGAUGUUUUGUUGUGAGUUAGAGGCAGCCUGUUGUACAAAGGAA